GACGAAGGAUGCAAGCGUUAUCCGGAUUCAUUGGGUUUAAAGGGUGCGUAGGCGGACUUGUAAGUCAGUGGUGAAAUCUCUCAGCUUAACUGAGAAACUGCCAUUGAUACUGCAGGUCUAGAGUAUAGAUGACGUUGGCGGAAUAUGACAUGUAGUGGUGAAAUGCGUAGAGAUCGGCAGGAACACCCAGGGGGAAACCAGUCGACUGGGCAUCUACUGACGCUGAGGUGCGAGAGCGUGGGGAGCGAACCGG
rnacentral:rRNA from 1 species